AGUGAACGCUGGCGGUAGGCCUAACACAUGCAAGUCGAACGGCAGCACAGUAAGAGCUUGCCCUUACGGGUGGCGAGUGGCGGACGGGUGAGGAAUACAUCGGAAUCUACUUUUUCGUGGGGGAUAACGUAGGGAAACUUACGCUAAUACCGCAUACGACCUACGGGUGAAAGCAGGGGAUCUUCGGACCUUGCGCGAUUGAAUGAGCCGAUGUCGGAUUAGCUAGUUGGCGGGGUAAAGGCCCACCGAGGCGACGAUCCGUAGCUGGUCUGAGAGGAUGAUCAGCCACACUGGAACUGAGACACGGUCCAGACUCCUACGGGAGGCAGCAGUGGGGAAUAUUGGACAAUGGGCGCAAGCCUGAUCCAGCCAUACCGCGUGGGUGAAGAAGGCCUUCGGGUUGUAAAGCCCUUUUGUUGGGAAAGAAAAGCAGCAGGUUAAUACCCCGCUGUUCUGACGGUACCCAAAGAAUAAGCACCGGCUAACUUCGUG
rnacentral:rRNA from 1 species